AGAGUUUGAUCCUUUCUCAGGAUGAACGCUAGCUACAGGCUUAACACAUGCAAGUCGAGGGGCAGCAUGGUCUUAGCUUGCUAAGGCCGAUGGCGACCGGCGCACGGGUGAGUAACACGUAUCCAACCUGCCGUCUACUCUUGGACAGCCUUCUGAAAGGAAGAUUAAUACAAGAUGGCAUCAUGAGUCCGCAUGUUCACAUGAUUAAAGGUAUUCCGGUAGACGAUGGGGAUGCGUUCCAUUAGAUAGUAGGCGGGGUAACGGCCCACCUAGUCUUCGAUGGAUAGGGGUUCUGAGAGGAAGGUCCCCCACAUUGGAACUGAGACACGGUCCAAACUCCUACGGGAGGCAGCAGUGAGGAAUAUUGGUCAAUGGGCGAGAGUCUGAACCAGCCAAGUAGCGUGAAGGAUGACUGCCCUAUGGGUUGUAAACUUCUUUUAUAAAGGAAUAAAGUCGGGUAUGCAUACCCGUUUGCAUGUACUUUAUGAAUAAGGAUCGGCUAACUCCGUGCCAGCAGCCGCGGUAAUACGGAGGAUCCGAGCGUUAUCCGGAUUUAUUGGGUUUAAAGGGAGCGUAGAUGGAUGUUUAAGUCAGUUGUGAAAGUUUGCGGCUCAACCGUAAAAUUGCAGUUGAUACUGGGUAUCUUGAGUGCAGUUGAGGCAGGCGGAAUUCGUGGUGUAGCGGUGAAAUGCUUAGAUAUCACGAAGAACUCCGAUUGCGAAGGCAGCCUGCUAAGUUGCAACUGACAUUGAGGCUCGAAAGUGUGGGUAUCAAACAGGAUUAGAUACCCUGGUAGUCCACACGGUAAACGAUGAAUACUCGCUGUUUGCGAUAUACAGCAAGCGGCCAAGCGAAAGCGUUAAGUAUUCCACCUGGGGAGUACGCCGGCAACGGUGAAACUCAAAGGAAUUGACGGGGGCCCGCACAAGCGGAGGAACAUGUGGUUUAAUUCGAUGAUACGCGAGGAACCUUACCCGGGCUUAAAUUGCAGAUGAAUUACGGUGAAAGCCGUAAGCCGCAAGGCAUCUGUGAAGGUGCUGCAUGGUUGUCGUCAGCUCGUGCCGUGAGGUGUCGGCUUAAGUACCAUAACGAGCGCAACCCUUGUUGUCAGUUACUAACAGGUUCUGCUGAGGACUCUGACAAGACUGCCAUCGUAAGAUGUGAGGAAGGUGGGGAUGACGUCAAAUCAGCACGGCCCUUACGUCCGGGGCUACACACGUGUUACAAUGGCAUGUACAGAAAGCUGGCCGUAUGCAAAUACGGUCGAAUCCCUAAAACAUGUCUCAGUUCGGACUGGGGUCUGCAACCCGACCCCACGAAGCUGGAUUCGCUAGUAAUCGCGCAUCAGCCAUGGCGCGGUGAAAACGUUCCCGGGCCUUGCACACACCGCCCGUCAA
rnacentral:rRNA from 1 species